ensembl:snRNA U6 U6 spliceosomal RNA
UUGCUUUGGUAGCACAUCUAAAACUGGAACGAUCCAGGGAAGACUAGCAGGGACCCUGCGCAAGAAUGACAUGCAAAUUCGUGAGGCAUUCCAUAGUUUU